AUAGAUCUACUUACUAUGGAAGACAUCUACUUCUACACAUCUCUCUCCAUCUCCAUCAUCGUGUGCCUCGUCACUCUUACGCUGUUUGGACGACGUCGUUACCCCAAUCUCCCCCCAAGCCCUUCCUUAUUUUGUCUUCCGAUUCUCGGUCACCUCCACCUUCUCAAACCCCCGCUCCAUCGCACCUUCCAACGCCUCUCACAGAAACACGGCUCCAUCUUCUCCCUCUGGUUCGGCUCCCGCCGCGUGGUCAUUAUCUCCUCCUCCUCGGUCGUGCAAGAAUGCUUCACCAAAAAUGACAUCGUGUUGUCAAGUCGUCCCGCCACUCUCUUUAGCAAGCAUUUUGCGUACAACACCACCACCUUGUCGUUCUCCACCUACGGCGACCACUGGCGUAACAUUCUUCGGAUCGGCACAGUCGAGGUCUUAUCCACAGGCCGGCUCAACUCUUUUUCUCAUUUCAGGAAGAAGGAAGUCUGGCACUUGCUGCGCAAGCUUUCCCAGAACGCAGAAGGAAGGAUGUUAUUUCGUGAAAGUGAAGUUGCGGUCUAUGUUGUACGAACUAACCUUCAACAACAUAAUGACAAUGGUGGCGGGAAAGGUAUGCCAGGGACAAAGUUGCAAACAAGGAAGAGGGCAAGGAGUUCAUUGAGAUCAUGGACGAGGCCUUUUCGUACAGUGGGGGAACCAACCCCGGAGAAUUCAUGCCCUUUCUUAGAUGGUUUGAUGGUAAUAAUUAUGAGAAGAAGGUAGAGAAAUUGGGCAAGAGAGCAGAUGCGUUCUUGCAACGUCUCAUUGAUGAACACAAGAACAGGAGUGCUUCGGAGGGUAGAAAUACCAUGAUCGACCAUUUGCUUUCCCGGCAGGAGUCACAACCUGAGUAUUACAGCGAUGAGAUUAUCAAAGGACUCAUACAGAGUCUUCUAAUUGCGGGAACAGAUACAUCGGCAGUGACAUUAGAAUGGGCUAUGUCCAAUUUGCUAAACCAUCCGGAUGUAUUGAAGAAGGCUAGAGCUGAAUUGGAUGCUCAAAUUGGUCAAGAACGCCUAGUAGAAGAAUCAGACCUCUCUAAGCUUAACUACCUACAAAGUAUCAUCUCUGAGACUCUUCGACUGUACCCGGCGGCGCCAAUGCUACUACCGCAUUUCGCUUCCGAUGAUUGUAUUGUCAGUGGAUUCGAUAUACCAAGCGACACAUUGGUAUUGGUCAAUGCAUGGGCAAUACAUAGAGAUCCCACGUUGUGGGAUGAUCCUGAAAGCUUCAAACCUGAGAGGUUUGUAAUGGGCCGCAACAAGGAUGAGGCACACAAGUUUAUUCCGUUCGGAAUGGGCAGGAGGGCUUGUCCUGGAGCAGGAUUGGCACAACGUGAGGUAGGCUUGACUUUGGCCUCAUUGAUUCAAUGCUUUGAGUGGAAGAGGGUAAGUGAUAAGGAGUUUGAUAUGACGGAAGGAAAAGGACUCACCAUGCCUAAACUUGUGCCAUUGGAGGCCAUGUGCAAACCACGCUCAUGUUUUAACAAGCUUUCUCAUUGAUUGAUCAAUAAUUUCUAUGCUAAUCCGUGUUAGUAUAUAGUAGUGAGCUAUGGCCUAUAUGUUGUGUGAAAUAACUGCCACCGUCGAGCUGAUCACUUAAACAAAUCGACUUUGUAAAAGUGCAUUGGCAUGGCAUAUCUACUAAUCGACUAGAAUAGUAUUGUUGUAAGGGGUAGUGCUAGAGGGUCUUAAUAAAGCUUAAAAUUUGUGGCAUUAAUCAUAUGUGUCACGCCAUUCAAGUAAAUAAAAAUAGUUAUUUUCUAUUCU